CUGCUACUUCCUUCGUCUGAAAAUACUUGUCAUCAAAAUGAAUAAAAGGGGAUGUAUCUAGAUGUAUUUUAGUUCUAGAUACAUCUCUUUUAUCCAUUUUGAUGACAAGUAUUUUCGGACGGAGGGAGUAUUAC
rfam:Triticum aestivum genome assembly, contig: Triticum_aestivum_CS42_TGACv1_scaffold_210794_3AS